CAGAGACACCUCUGGCUAAGCUUGAUGUUGCAGCUGGGUGCUAGAGACAUGUCCAGACAUGCAGGAGCUCCGGUUUACCUCUGUUGGAGAAGCUUUAAGGGAAGAUGAUUUGGGCUGUGAGGUGUCUGCAUUCCCCACACCUGGAAGGAACUUGGAUCAUCCCCAACUUACCCCCGACAUGGGAAGGAAUCCUGGGAGCAAGGCCAGGUGGGCACUGCCCCUCAUAUCUGGAGCCAAGUGACACUAUGGAGACACAAAAAUCCCAAAGGGCUUGGAACAGCCCCAGGAUUGAGCUGGGGAUGCCAAGGUGAUUCACCACCUGCAGAGCUGCAUCCAGCUCUGGGAAUUCCAACAUCAGAAGGAUGUGGAGCUGCUGGAGGAACUCCAGAAGGAGAUCACAGAAACACUGAGGACUGGAGCCCCUCUGCUCUGGAGAUAAGUUGGGGGUGCUCAGGGGGACCCCUGAGGCCCUUUCUGGUGCCUAAUGGGGCUCCAAGAGAGUUGGAGAGGGACUCUGGACAAGAGCCUGGAGGGACAGGACAAGGAGGAAUGGUUUCCCACUGCCUGAGGGCAGGGCUAGGUGAGAUCUUGGGAAGAAAUUCUUCCCUGUGAGGGUGGUAAGGCCCUGGCACAGGGUGCCCAGAUAAGCUGUGGCUGUCUCAUCCUUUUAAGUGUCCAAGGUCAGAUUGGACAGGGCUUGGAGCAGCCUGGUCUAGCAGAAAGUAUAUCUGCAUUGGAAUGAGAUGGUCUUUAAGGUCUCUUCCAACCCAAACCAUUCCAUGAUUCUAUGAAAAAAUUCCACCUGAACUCCCAUGUAGGCAUCAAAGUAGACUGGAGCUCAAACCCAGGGAACACUGACAUCAGCCUUGGUCUGCAGGGACUGAAAUAGUCCCAGGCCCCAGCAGAAACCAUAACCCUGACACAACUUGAUAGUAUCUCACUUGAAAAACAAGAACCUCACAGGAAUUUCCCACUAAUUGCUAUCACCCUGGGUUUUCAUCCAGCACUGUGGAAACACCCUGUCCAAACACCUGCACCAGAGCAAAGAGGCAGUAGAGCACCAAAUACCCCCAGACACCGAAGGCUGCCACCCCCUUUGCUGUUCUCAGCACUCCGUUCCCAUCUCUUCUGAGUUCUGUUUGGGUUUAAUGAAGAAGCUCUCACAAAAGUAGGUCCAGGCUUCCCCAAAGGGUUAUAAGGUGUUUGAAGUGUCAUUCCCAGAUCAUAAGGCACGACCUCAAAAAUGAAACCUGUCAGCAGCCAGACGGCCCUGAGCUGAUGCUUCUCCCUGGCUCUGCCUCUUCCUUGAAGACAGGCAGGUCCCUGUAGUCUAGGCAUGACAAGCACUUCAGGGCUCCGGCUACUGCAGAGUGAGCCCAUCACCAUCUAACUAGUCCAAAAGGUGCCAAGUCCAUCCCACUUCUACAGCAAAGCUGUACCUGCAACAGGUACCCACAGGUACAGCAGGUUUUCCCUCUUCACUCAGAGUAGAUGCUGUCAGGGCUCUGAACCUAGUACUUUGGUUCAGCUCAGGAUGUUUCCCUGCAUGUUCCUCUCUGCCUGGGGUUGUAUCACCUGAAAUAAGGGCAGCAACAGAGUCCUCUGCCUGCUUCCCACAGUCCCAUGCUAACCUGCUGCUGGGGGGGGGCACCUUCCCAUCUUGGCAACUCACACAACCUCUGCCACAAGCACAGGCUGCUACAGGAAACCCCAUCCUUUCCACUGCUGAAUCCAGGGAGAGCCCAUCCUCAAACAGCUUCAAUCCUGGGACAACAGCAUGUGCAGCCAUCUAUCCUUAGAAACCUUCCCAAAAAGGGAGGCCUGGCCUCCAGCUCAGAACACCACCACUGGCUUUAGCCUCUCAGCCACAGACCCAAGGAUGCUUUACUUCCCAUUCCUCUGUAGGAUGCAGAGCAAGGCCAGCAUGAUCUUCUGCUGUCUUCUUGGGACAGGGAUCAGACAAAGGCACAUGUUCUUAUUAAAAACAGUUACCCAAGUAAGUAAAUUUAAUUCCCCUUUUCCUGUAAUUCUGCCCAAGUCUUUUGCAGGUGCUUUCAUUCCCAAAACACCACAACAGCACAGCAAAAUCCAACUGCUAGAUUGGGAAGCAGAGCCAAACAGGGCACAAGAAGGACCACAGGGAGAGUCACAAAUCCAAAGGAAGGUGCCAAGCCCUGUUCCUGGUUCAGCAGCUAGCAUGUUAUGUUACACAGGGACAGAUGGCAAUGUCACACAUCCCUUUGGGAAGCAGCUGCAACUGCCUGAGCUAAUGUAACCACUUCCCAAAUGCAGACAUGGGAUAAGCUGGCUGCCGUGUUCAAUCAUGCCCUGUGCAUCUCCAGAGCCAGUGUCCUCGGCUGGGACAGUGGCCAAGGUUACUGCUGCACACAUCACACUGCUAGCUGAGCAGCUGGACCCCAGUCAAUCACCUCUUCCUGCUGAGAAGAUGAUGGCCUGCGUGCAGCUAAUAAGGAGGCAACCCCAGGGAAAAUCCCCCCCUUUAAACACUGAUGUGUAAGAACAGAGCCUAGAGCAGAUGUCCCGCAUAUCACCAAGCUAGAGAGGUGGCCAAAGUGAACAUCUUCACUUCAGACCUGCUGUAAACCAGGAUUGGGGAAGGGGGUCCCCAAAAGGUCCCCAUUCCCCUUCAGUCAAGAGCCUGCCUCAAGGAGCAAGCCAGAGGCGAAUGGAGGAAAGGUGGCUGGAUAUGAAAGGAGGUGGAUCCCUGAUCCAAAACCACAGAACCUAACUGGUUUGGGUUAGAAGAGAGCUGAAAUCUCAUCUUGCCAUGGGCAGGCACACUUUUCACUAGACCAAGUUCUUCCAGGCCCUGUCCAACCCGGCCUUGAACAAUUCUGGGGAUGGGGCAGCCACAGUUUCUCUGGGCACCCUGUGCCAGAGGCCUCACCGCAUUCCUAGGGAACAAUACCUUCCCAAUAUCCCCUCUGGCAGUGACAAGCCAUUCCCUGUUUUUUGUCCCUCCAUUCCUUGUCCAAAAUCCCUCUUCAACUGUCUUGGAGCCUCUUUAGGCAUUAGAAGGGUCUCUAAGGUCCCCCUGGAGCCUUCUCUUCCCCAAGUGAACACCCACAGCUCUCCCAGCCUGGCUCCACCUCUCGGAGCAUCUCUAUGGCCUCCUCUGGACUUUCUCCAGCAGCUCCGCAUCCUUCUGGUGCUGGAAUCCCCAGAGCUGGAUGCAGCACUGCAUGUAAGAUGUCAUCUGGGUGGAGCAGCGGGAUCCAAGACAUCUUGUCCUUAGGAGCAUUACAGUGAGCAUUCAACGACCAGUCAGAUCUACCAGAAUGCAUAGCAAGGCUCAACCACAUUGCAAACAUUUCUCCUUCCUGGCUCAUUCUCAUCCAAAUCGACAGGCUAUAUAACAGUCUAAGUGUCACAGCCCACGCAGCUAUGCAACAGCCCCGGAAGACAAAGCAGCAUCUGCACACGCAGACUGGGCGUUGCUCUGGGAUACGAUCCCUUGAGAGCAAAGGGAUUCCAUCAGGAAGUGUUUUAUGUCCUUUGGCUGCACUUUCCCUAAACUUGGGUCAUAUCUUACUGAUCCAUACAGGAAGAAGCAAGAAAGACACCUGCUCAGACUCAUCCCCAUCCAUCAAACUCCUCAGGAACAGGAAGGGCAAGAGCAGCAUGUCAUGGAAAUGGCUGAUACGUGCCACGGCUCAAAUCCUGUGCUGACACAAAGCUCACACAGGGCAAGUAUGCAAACAGGAGCUCUCGCUGAUCAUACCACUCAAAGCAACUUCAGUCCUGUCACUACUGUCCCCAGGGGCUGCAGCCAUGUCACAAGCCAGGUCCUGAUAAUAGCAACUGAGAUAUAUGAGAUCACCUUAUAUAUUCACACUGCAAGGGAACCAACCACAAAAGGAUCAAGUGCUUGCACCUGACAAAAUGACAGUGAGAGACAACACUGCCCAACUGUUCAGAGGCUUUUACCUUGAUUGACAACCAAGGUUCAGCAUCAAGACCCCUAGCAAAGGUAAGGAUUUUAUUGCCACAACACAGAUGGGUUUAGUCUGGCUAUUUCCCCAAGGAGGACCUGAAGAAGCCAGGGCAUAGCUCCCAGCUGUGUAGCAUACAAACCCUAGUUUGUUGGGACCUGCCUGAGCUGCAGGCUUGCCUUGGGCAGGCCAGGCCAGACACAGUCUCAAUUUGGCCUGAGAAAGUCCUCCAAGCAAAAGGCAUCACUCACCCAGUGCCUGCCUAUAGAAGAAACAGCAGGCAAUUCCUUCAUUGGAGCAAUGGAACUCCCAGUAUCAUUCCCCAAAAUGCUAAGACACUCAAUCAGAAAAUCCUGAGUUGGACCCACAAGGAUCAUCAAGUCCAGCUCCUGGCCCUGAACAGGACACGACAACAAUUCCACCCCGUGUUAGAAAGCAUUGUCCAAAUGCUUCUGGAGCUCUGGCAGCCUUGGGGCCCAUGACCAUUCCCUGGAGAGCCUGUAAUCAAACUCUGGCCUUGGUACACACGGAUACACACACACAGAUCAAGAAGCUCAACAGCCCCACUCAGCCUGUGAUGUUGCACUUCGCUGUUUGAUGCAAUCCCAGCCAAAUAACCCAGCGGGAUUUCCUUGUGCCCAUAUCUCCAAGGCAGACAUCUCAGAUCACUGCCUUAGAAAUCAUGAGUUACUGCAGCCCAUGGCCCUCCCAGCAGGAUUUGCUCAAGGAAGACAGCACAAAUUAUGGAUGAUGUAUCACUUGCAUAUUAUGCUCGACAAGCAGUCUCAAGUCCCAGUACUUUCAAACCAAACAUGACUUUUCCUGUUGUCAGCAUUAGAAAGCCAUCAGGGUUACCAAAAAAAGCUACAUCCUCGUCUAGAAAACGGGGAUAAAAAUUGGGUAGUGAUCUGCUUAUAGCUUGACACCUUCAUCCUACUUCCCAUUCACUUAAUGGGGCUCACCAAUAAGGAAGACAGGAAAUAAAGUAAAUAAAAGUGAUUCUUUGUCAUAGCAGGACAGGCCUUUUGUUCUACAGAUCAAAAUCCAAAACAGCAAACCCAAAUAGCCACAGAACUCUCAACAGAGCAAACUCAUAUCACUGAGCAAGCAGGAGCCAAGAAGAGACAUGGCCUUUGACACCUAAUUUCCAUGUCAGAGCAACCAGCCUGAGGACAAGAAGGGCACGAAGACAGCCAAGGCUUUUCUUCUACAGGAGGGUUUACACAAAGUGGUUCGAGCUAUUGGAUAUCCUCAGGCCCACUGCUAUUCCCCAGAAUCUUUCCAGGCACCUUUUAAAACUGAUGCAAUCAAUUGCAAAGAACAAACCUCCUCUUGCUUAAACAUCACAUUUAAUUGCCUGAAUAAAUCAGCCCAAUUCCCAUAUAAACAUUUAUAAUUACUCUCACAUAGGAACCCUUGUCCCACAGGGCAGCAAACAGAAUGGUGAAAAGCUGAGAACAUGCACGAAUAUUUAGAACAAAGGAGACAGAGCAAGCUGGGAGGAUUCCCAGUGGCAUUCCAUGGAAGGACAACUUCCAGUUCCCCCAGCCUGGAACUGGACUGGCUGACUUUGGAGCACAAGAAAAAUAACACACGUCCUUUCCAGUCAUUAGGAAGAAAGAAAAUUCUCCUGGUCUUCAACAACCAAGGAGAUUUUUAUUCUUCCCCAUCACUACAAGGGAAAUGUAAUUCAUUACUUUGGUUACCUUAAGUGAUCGCUCAGGCAAGAAGUCUCACCACAAGCACCACAAAACUCUUCAGAAAAGGAAGGAAUUCCACUUUAAUGUUUCAAAAUCUUCACUGCUGUAGAGUUAAAGCCUUGGCAGUGCCCUCUGUCACACCAUGCAGGUGUAAUGUCAAGGACUGAAAACCCACAGAGCUUCAGUAGAAUUUGUGGCUCCACAUAUUCACAAAACAUCUAGAAAGAGGACUGACCAAGUUUACUGAUGACAUUAAGCUAUUCAGAGUAAUAAAAAUAGCAGUUGACUAAGUGGACAACUUUGUGAGAAAAUGCUGCUGAACUUUACAGGUACACUUGGCCUACUUGGUUGAGAAAAAUUAAACGAUGUGUGUGCAGAAAACCCCUGCCCUAAUUCCAAGGCUACAGGUUCCAAAUUGACCAUUAACCAUCAGAAACAUGAUCUGUAACUCCAGAAAACUAACUAACCUGAAGAAAAGCAAAUGUCACCCUGAACAAAACAUACCACUGUGCUGUUAUACAAACCCAGAUAGGAUUUAUCCUGAGCAGAGCGUAGCUUUGCUCCUCUCCACCUCCACAAGCAUGAAGCAGAACUGAAAAACCAUCACAGAAAAAUAGGGAUGAGCAAGGGACAGAAGCAUUUCCAUCUGCAGAGCCACUGUGCUUUAACUCUCUGGCCUGGAAGACAGAUGACUGGAAAGGCAGAGUAGGCACAGAAGAGAGUGAAAUAAUUGCUCACCACCUUUUCUCACACAAGAAAAAGGGAGAAUCAUGAGGCAGACUCAAAGCAAAUCAAAAAGACACAUUUCCCCACACAACACAAAUUAGCUGAAGAACUGUAGAUACUGUGGGUGAUCAAGGAGUUAACUGAGAUCAUGGACAGCAAAAUCAUUAAUUGAGAAAGACAAAGAUGCAUCCUUGGGGUAAUGUAAAUUCCAAAGCCAACAUAUUGUUCAAGGGAAAGAAAACCUUCAGAGAUGAAUAUGUGCCUGUACUGUCCUCACAGGUGCUUGCUCUCAACUGUUACUGCCAGAUGGACACAGCACUUUCUAAGAGGAAACAGGAGAGAUACCCAAGCAAGGUCUCCCUCUGUGCCCAGCAGACAUGCAGCUCCUGCAGCCACAUGAGACACACUUACACAGACUUUGAUCUGACCGAUGGCAGCUUUCCUGGUAUUUGAGGCUUGAACACCACCACCAUCCCAAGUAAGACAGAAGAGACACUUCAUGCUAUCACCGCUAAGAAAAGGUGCUAUGAAAAAGACACACCACAAUAUUCUGUACUGAGAAUAUUAUGUAUUGUGAGAGGACAAGAGAAGAUCUAUUUGCCUGCUUCUGUGAGCCAGAAAGAGCUGAAUUCACAAGCUUAAGGAGAAGAGCCAACACUCCCUAUAGCAUGUCCCAUCAUUUUACAGCCACUUGAAAAGGAACAUAAAGCCACAUUCACUGGAACAGAGUUUUGUAUUUCAUCUUUUUUUUUUUUUCUUCCUCCUCUAAGUGUAUCAAGAACAUGGCUCUGGAAUCAGCUGAACUCCGAAUCAGGCUGCAACAGCCAAAAGGCUGAUGAUCAAGACUUCUCGAUUUCCUUAAUUUUGCAAUGAUGAUUUGGAAUUUGGAAAUUCUCUGAAGGUAUUUUACAGAUGGUACCACAAAUAACAGAACUGAGAUGGAGAGAGCAGAGCCCUUCCCCACUGUGCAUAGAAUACAAAGAAGGAAACUGAAGAGUGUGGUUUCCUUUCCCCCCCAAGAUUAGAAACAAAAUACAAGCCUUUUAAGGUAGAUUUUAUCAAAAUCUUCUAUACUGGGAUUACAUUACAAUAGCUCUGCAGUUAACCACACAAAAAAAGCAGCUCAGCAUUGUUCUUUUAAGAAAAAAAAAUUCUAAUUAUACAGAACCAGAAAUUUCCAAGUUCUUGCACAAAACCCAAAUGGUUCAUUAUUAACUGCUCAAAUACACUGAUAUAUGACUUACAUGUCAAUUUAAAAGGCUCCUACUGGGGACUAGUCACUGGAAGGAGCUACAAACAACUUCUAUCCUAGCCAUCAGUUUGAGUAAUGACCAUCCUUGUUUAACAGGGACUUUCCUAGGAACUGCUGUGGUAGAGCAGGGUGCUAGCACUGUUCUGGCUGCCAAGCCUCCAGUGGUUUGUACCACUAAGGAACUAAUUUUUAACUCACAAAGCCGUAAGACAGCACAAUUACUACCAGGUACAAACCAGAACACGCAGGAAAAUGAGAGGACUAAUGGUAGUGAGAGUGACCACACAGCACUAAACAAGGAGCUUCAUGGACCUGAAAAGAAAAAAACAGUUUCUUUCAGACAAAAAGCUGGUGCAGAAUUACAGUUUCAAUAAGAACAAGGAAGGAACACUGUGCAUGGAGCUGUUCUUGAUUGACUGCUCACAGAACAAUGCACUUCAACUGUUUUCUUGGGAUCUUAAUCGGCUUUCAAGCAACAUCUUGUGACCCACCGUACUUCUGCAUUAGGGAAAAAUCCAGAGAACUGAACCAGACCAUGCCCUGGGGUUUCACUGAAUGAAAGAGAUGGCAAAGAGUCUUGCUUGGAAGAUAAGAACUUUUUCUGGGGAAGCAGAUGUUAAUAAAAUAACCUGAAACACAUACCUGUGUAAGUAGCUCUUAACCUUGGUGCCAGCAAGUUAUCCAGAACUCUUGGAGGAAAAAAAUCAGAGGAAGAAAACCAAAGCAACCCCUGCUGCUGACAGCUUACACACUCCCUUCUGCAUUCCAAGACCUCCACAGUGUUUCUAGGGAAUUUGCCAGCCAUACACAUACCAUUUUUCACAGAAUCACAGGCUGGUUUGGGUUGGAAGGGACCUGAAAGCCCACACCAUUCCACUCCCUGCCAUGGACAGGGACACCUUCCACUAGACCAGCCAGCUCCAAGCCCUGUCCAGCCUGGCCUUGGACACUUCCAAGGAUAAAGGGGCAGCCACAGCUUCUCUGGGCAACCCCUGCCAGGACCUCAACACCCUUACAGAAAUUAAUUUCUCCUUAAUAUCCAAUCUGAACCUACCCUACUUCAGUUCAAGGUCAUUCUUCCAUCUUAAUUCAUCUGCU